UACGGACACACCUUAAAAUACAUACAG
rnacentral:piRNA from 1 species